rnacentral:rRNA from 1 species
UACGUAGGGUGCGAGCGUUGUCCGGAAUUACUGGGCGUAAAGAGCUCGUAGGUGGUUUGUCGCGUUGUCCGUGAAAACUCACAGCUUAACUGUGGGCGUGCGGGCGAUACGGGCAGACUGGAGUACUGCAGGGGAGACUGGAAUUCCUGGUGUAGCGGUGGAAUGCGCAGAUAUCAGGAGGAACACCGGUGGCGAAGGCGGGGCUCUGGGCCGAAACUGACGCUGAGGAGCGAAAGCGUGGGGAGCAAACAGG